rnacentral:rRNA from 1 species
UACGUAGGGGUCCGAGCGUUGUCCGGAAUUAUUGGGCGUAAAAGGGCUCGUAGGCGGUUGGUCACGUCGGGAGUGAAAACUCAGGGCUCAACCCUGAGCGUGCUUCCGAAUACGGGCCGACUAGAGGUAUGACAGGGGAGAACGGAAUUCCUGGUGUAGCGGUAGGAAUGCGCAGAUAUCAGGAGGAACACCGGUGGCGAAGGCGGGUCUCUGGGACCGAUACUGACGCUGAGGAGCGAAAGGCGUGGGGAGCGAACAGG